CGGCUGCAGUAAGGAAUAUUGGUCAAUGGACGCAAGUCUGAACCAGCCAUGCCGCGUGCAGGAAGACGGUCCUCUGGAUUGUAAACUGCUUUUGUUAGGGAAGAAACCCUCGGAUGCGUUCGAGGCUGACGGUACCUAAAGAAUAAGGAUCGGCUAACUCCGUGCCAGCAGCCGCGGUAAUACGGAGGAUCCAAGCGUUAUCCGGAUUUAUUGGGUUUAAAGGGUGCGUAGGCGGCGUUGUAAGUCAGUGGUGAAAGUUUGCAGCUUAACUGUAAAAUUGCCAUUGAUACUGCAGUGCUUGAGUACAGAUGAGGUGGGCGGAAUGUGUCAUGUAGCGGUGAAAUGCAUAGAUAUGACACAGAACACCGAUUGCGAAGGCAGCUCACUAAACUGUAACUGACGCUGAGGCACGAAAGCGUGGGGAUCAAACAGGAUUAGAUACCCCUGUAGUC
rnacentral:rRNA from 1 species